GUCUGAAACUGUAACACCACAAAAAUGAUGUUUCUGGCGAGCACCUGAAAGCUGAUGGAAAUCUCUGAAAUGAAGAGCUCAGGUGGGUUUCUGGUGCGUAAAAUAACAUAAGUUUUCUGGACAUUCAGAGCUUAUGUUAAGCUACCAACCUCUAUUAUAUCCCAACUUCAGAUUUGUUUAAACAAGCUUCCACCUGCACAACAACCCCUUUUACUACCAGUGAAACAUACUCUUCCCCAAGGAGCCCAGUAUUAUAAAUCACCGAGGUACACAUGCUGUUGCUGCCAGCAUGAGAGGGGUCUGGCACGAUGAAUAUGAGGAGUAAUGAGGGACGUGGAAUAGCCCACACACAUAAGAAAGGAGAAACCAGAACUCAGAGUGUAGAAAGCAGUGUAUCAACAAUUUUUAAACACAACCUAUUAGAUUUAGAUAUGGAGCUUUAAUCUGUUAGCUGUGACCAUGAAGAGAGCAACCAGUCCCAAACCAAAUACAAACCAUCAGAUAACUCAGUAUGCAUAUGUACAUACACCUGUGUAUUAUAAACUAAGAAUAAAUUAUAACAUCAGACUGCACUAUGUGCUUUUCAUAAUAACAAGAUAGUAUCUUCAAAUACUUGUACAAAAACUCUAAUGAAUUGAGUAGGCUAGAAUCUGAGACCCUGUCCUGCCCAAGCUGCACAUUCUCAGUAUUUCACCAAGUUUGUUCAACUGAAUAUUUUCUCAUCAAGGUCGCAGGAGCUGAUUAUGAACAAACAAUGACACUCAGCCUCUCUAUCCAGCUGCAGUUCCCAUUGUUAUUUGCAGGACUGAAUCUUAAUUAUAUCAUAGCUGUUCCGCUCCUUCAUCCACCAUAUGUGCAGACCACAAAGCCAGGUUAACAGAGCAUGACAUGCGUAAGUCUGUGGAUUUUUGUUUAAAUUUUUUUAAUAAUGGACAGACAUUUUGCUCUA
rnacentral:lncRNA from 1 species